CCUACGGGAGGCUGCAGUGGGGAAUAUUGGGCAAUGGGCGCAAGCCUGACCCAGCAACGCCGCGUGAAGGAAGAAGGCUUUCGGGUUGUAAACUUCUUUUCUCAGGGACGAAGAAAGUGACGGUACCUUAGGAAUAAGCCACGGCUAACUACGUGCCAGCCGCCGCGGUAAUACGUAGGUGGCAAGCGUUAUCCGGAUGGAUUGGGUGUAAAGGGCGAGUAGGCGGGAGCGCAAGUCAGAUGUGAAAACUCAGGGCUCAACCCUGAGACUGCAUUUGAAACUGUGUUUCUUGAGUGCUGGAGAGGCAAGCGGAAUUCCGGGUGUAGCGGUGAAAUGCGUAGAUAUACGGAGGAACACCAGUGGCGAAGGCGGAUUGCUGGACAGUAACUGACGCUGAGGCGCGAAAGCGUGGGGAGCAAACAGGAUUAGAUACCCCGGUAGUC
rnacentral:rRNA from 1 species